CUACGGGCGGCAGCAGUGGGGAAUAUUGCACAAUGGAGGAAACUCUGAUGCAGCAACGCCGCGUGGAGGAUGACACUUUUCGGAGCGUAAACUCCUUUUAUAUAGGAAGAAGAUGACGGUACUAUAUGAAUAAGCGCCGGCUAACUCCGUGCCAGCAGCCGCGGUAAUACGGAGGGCGCAAGCGUUACUCGGAAUCACUGGGCGUAAAGAGCGUGUAGGCGGAUUAAAAAGUCAGAAGUGAAAUCCUAUGGCUUAACUAUAGAACUGCUUCUGAAACUCUUAAUCUAGAAUAUGGGAGAGGUAGAUGGAAUUUCUGGUGUAUGGGUAAAAUCCGUAGAGAUCAGAAGGAAUACCGAUUGCGAAGGCGAUCUACUAGAACAUUAUUGACGCUGAGACGCGAAAGCGUGGGGAGCAAACAGGAUUAGAUACCCCCGUAGUC
rnacentral:rRNA from 1 species